CCCCUCCCCCGGCGGCUGCGGCGGCGGCGGCGGCGGCGGCAGCAGCUCACUCAGCCGCUGCCCGAGCGGAAACGCCACUGACCGCACGGGGAUUACCAGCGCCGGCGCCAGGGGCACCUGGGACACGCCCCCUCCCGCCGCGCCAUUGGCCUCUCCGCCCACCGCCCCACACCCAUUGGCCAACUUGUUGCCAAUCAGCGGAAGCCGCCGGGGCCGCCUAGAGAAGAGGCUGUGCUCUGAGCUCCGGCUCCUCAGAGAGCCUCGGCUAGAUUAGGAUUACCGUCCCAUCUUUCCACAUUACCAUGGUGUAGGAGGCCCACUUCAAGCUGGAAAAGCAUCUAAAUAUGAAUAGUGACCCAAGAGAAAACAACAGAGAACUCAGGUGAAGUUUUUAAUUCAAAGAUAAAUCAGUCUGUCCUUUUAAGAAACCAAAAAUAUUUUGACAGGUUUAUGUUUGACUUUGAAAAGCAAUACCACUUGUGUACUGAAAAAUAAAAUCUUUAAAUUUGA